GUUCGAUCAUGGCUCAGAUUGGGCGUGGGAUCAUUUACACAUGCAAGUCGAACGGCAGCACGGACUUCAGUCUGGUGGCGAGUGGCAGGCAGGUGAGUAAUGUAUCGGAACGUGCCUAGUAGCGGGGGAUAACUACGCGAAAGCGUAGCUAAUACCGCAUACGCCCUUCGGGGAAAGCGGGGGACCUUCGGGCCUCGCACUAUUAAACAACCGAUAUCGGAUUAGCUAGUUAGUGGGGUAACGGCUCACUAAGGCGACGAUCCGUAGCUGGUUUGAAGGACGACCAGCCACACUGGGACCCAGAGACACAGCCCAGACUCCUACGGGAGGCAGCAGUGAGGGAAUUUUGGACAAUGGGGGAAACCCUGAUCCAGCCAUCCCCGCGUGUGUAAUUAGAAGGCCUUCGGGUUGUAAAGCACUUUUUGGCGGGAAAGAAACAGCACCAGGAUAAUACCCCCGUGCAACUGACAGCUGCCUGCAGAAUAAGCGCGGCUAACUACGUGCCAGCAGCCGCGGUAAUACGUAGGGUACAAGCGUUAAUCCGGAAUUACUGGGCGUAAAGCGUGCGCAGGCGGUUCGGAAGAAAGAUGUGAAAUCCAGAGCUUAACUUUUGGGACUGCAUUUUUAACUACCGAGCUAGAGUGUGUCAGAGGAGGUGGAAUUCCGCGUGUAGCAGUGAAAUGCGUAGAUAUGCGGGAACACCGAUGGCGAAGGCAGCCACUCGUGCUGCGGCUCCUUUGAAAGCGUGGGGAGCAAACAGGAUUAGAUACCCUGGUGAUCACGCCCACAAACGUGUCAACUAGCUGUUGGGACUGAGCAUGGUAGCGCAAUAACGCGUGAAGUUGACCGCCUGGGGGUACAGUCGCAAGAUUAAAACUCAAAGGAAUUGACGAGGACCCGCACAAGCGGUGGAUGAUGUGGAUUAAUUCGAUGCAACGCGAAAACCUUACCUACCCUUGACAUGUCUGGAAUCCCGAAGAGAUUUGGGAGUGCUCGCAAGAGAACCAGGUUUGGUGCCGCAUGGCCGUCGUCAGCUCGUGUCGUGAGAUGUUAGGUUAAGUCCGCAACGAGCGCAACCCUUGUCAUUAGUUGCUACGAAAGGGCACUCCUAAUGAGACUGCCAGUGACAAACCGGAGGAAGGUGGGGAUGACGUCAAGUCCUCGCGAGGCGCUGCCGGGUAGGGCUUCACACGUCGUAAUGGUCGGGACGGAGGUCACGCCAACUUGCGAAAGGAGACCGUCCGAGAAACCCGAUCGUAGUCCGGAUCAUGAUCUGCAACUCGACUGCGGCAAGUCGGAAUCGCUAAAGUAAUCGCGGAUCCAGCAUGUCGCCGGUGAAUACGUUCCCGGGUCUUGUACACACCGCCCGUCACACCAUGGGAGUGGAGUUUUACCAGAAGUAGUUAGCCCUAGCCGUAAGGAGGGCGAUUACCACGGUAAGUUCAUGACGGGGUGAAGUCGUGACAAGGUAA
rnacentral:rRNA from 1 species